rnacentral:rRNA from 1 species
UUAGGGCUACACACGUGCUACAAUGGGUAGUACAGAGGGUUGCCAAGCCGUAAGGUGGAGCUAAUCCCUUAAAGCUACUCUCAGUUCGGAUUGUAGGCUGAAACUCGCUACAUGAAGCUGGAGUUACUAGUAAUCGCAGAUCAGAAUGCUGCGGUGAAUGCGUUCCCGGGUCUUGUACACACCGCCCGUCACACCACGGGAGUUGGAGACGCCCGAAGCCGAUUAUCUAACCUUUUGGAAGAAGUCGUCGAAGGUGGAAUCAAUAACUGGGGUGAAGUCGUAACAAGG